rnacentral:rRNA from 1 species
CCUACGGGAGGCAGCAGUGAGGGAUAUUGCACAAUGGACGAAAGUCUGAUGCAGCGACGCCGCGUGGGCGAAGAAGGUUUUCGGAUCGUAAAGCCCUUUUCUAUGUGACGAGAUAGGACGGUAGCAUAGGAAUAAGUGUCGGCUAACUACGUGCCAGCAGCCGCGGUAAAACGUAUGACGCAAACGUUAUCCGGAGUUACUGGGCGUAAAGCGCGCGCAGGCGGUCGAGUAAGUUGCCUAUGAAAGCUUCCGGCUAAACCGGAAGAGGCUAGGUGAAACUGCCCGACUAGAGAGAGACAGAGGGAAGUAGAAUUCCGGGUGUAGUGGUGAAAUGCGUAGAUAUCCGGAGGAAUACCAGUGGCGAAGGCGGCUUCCUGGGUCUCAGCUGACGCUGAUGCGCGAAAGCGUGGGUAGCGAACGGGAUUAGAAACCCCGGUAGUCCACGCUGUAAACGAUGUACAUUAGGCGUUCGCAUGCGUUCAGUAUGUGAGUGUCGAAGCUAACGCGAUAAAUGUACCGCCUGGGGAGUACGGUCGCAAGGCUAAAACUCAAAGGAAUUGACGG